CAUCCCCUGCCGCAGCACAACGCCCCCAACUUCCCUCACCUCCUUCUCCCGACCCCCAGUUGAGCCGUCGUGCUACAACCACCGGCCCCCUCCACCUCCCUCCCCCUCCCGUCCAGCGCCACCGCACCAGUUCCUCUCCUGUCCACCUUCUACCGGCGCCGCGCCGUCCCUCCCACGCCCCGCCGCCCCUGACCCCGGCCGGUGCUCCUCCCACCCCCACCCCACCCCAGCUGCUCGCUAUCCCCACCACCUUCCCCAGUACACCACCACCAACCUUCCUGUCACCAGAUCCAUGGCCGCCGCACAGCCCCGGCCGACUACCACCCGCGCCGCCACGGCGGGCGCCGUCGGAGCUCCUGUGCGCCCCCCUGCAACACUCCGUCGCCACGGUCCAAUCCCCACAGCCCCCACCGGCCGCCACGCCAGCAAACUACAUCCUCGACGGCGGCGGAUCUCCACCACCACGCGCUGCCCCAGCCUCCUCGGGCUUGACGUCCGCCACCGUAGAGGAGCAGAACCACCACCGUGGCCAUGCGCGUGGAGGCCAAGCCCAGCGCGGCCAUGGCCCGGAGCUCGCCUCUGGCCUAUUCUAGUCUUCCUCUCCGACCACGGCCCAAAUCCGUGCCCCCCGUGCCGCCCCGCGCGCUAGCCGAAGAUGCCCGGGAUCGACUACCCAUCAGCAAGCGGAUCUGGAGGCCCCCAGUUGCCGGCGGCUCUACUUGAUCCACUCUGUCUCCUCUGCCACUGGAGACGCACAACCGUGGUGGUGCAGUGCACCGCGACUCCCGUGUGCAGUGCAGUGGGAGUGUGCCCCUCCUCCCCUUGCAGUCUAGCCGCCCCGCACUUGCAGUGCGCCGGCGCGCGCGAUGCGGCUCCAGCUUUGCCGUGCAGUUCAUUGACGAUAGCGUGCACUCCCCAGUUUUCAGAUGGGUGCUACAAGCGUCCGCACCACUUCUUUGAUCCACUAUGGAGGCAAAAACGAGAUGGCAAAAACAUUCUUGUUCAGAAGUCCAGUUGUGAAUUUUAUGUGAACAAUUCAUGUAGCAGCGGACAUGCAGUGCAAAAAUGGUGUUUUCCGUGUUUGAUGAUUUUAUGUAUAAAAGUUAUAUGGACUCUUUGAAAAUUGUUUACCAAAGAAGUUCAUUUCGAAUUGUGUUGCGACUCA